UACGUAGGGGGCAAGCGUUGUCCGGAUUUAUUGGGCGUAAAGAGCGUGUAGGCGGCCAUUCAGGUCAGCUGUGAAAACUCGAGGCUCAACCUCGAGACGUCGGUUGAAACCGUUUGGCUAGAGUCCGGAAGAGGAGAGUGGAAUUCCCGGUGUAGCGGUGAAAUGCGCAGAGAUCGGGAGGAACACCAGUGGCGAAGGCGGCCUUCUGGACCAGCACUGACACUCAAGCACGAAAGCGUGGGGAGCAAACAGG
rnacentral:rRNA from 1 species